GGAUGUGUAUAAAGUGGCGAACGGCUGAGUAACACGUGGGCAACCUGCCCUUUGCACUGAGGAUAGCCUCGGGAAACCGAGGUUAAUACCGGAUACUCCAUAUUUGUCGCAUGGCGAAUAUGGGAAAGCUCCGGCGGCAAAGGAUGGGCCCGCGGCCUGUUAGCUAGUUGGUGGGGUAGUGGCCUACCAAGGCAAUGAUGGGUAGCCGGGUUGAGAGACCGACCGGCCAGAUUGGGACUGAGACACGGCCCAGACUCCUACGGGAGGCAGCAGUGGGGAAUCUUGCACAAUGGGCGAAAGCCUGAUGCAGCGACGCCGCGUGCGGGAUGAAGGCCUUCGGGUUGUAAACCGCUUUCAGCAGGGACGAGGCCGCAAGGUGACGGU
rnacentral:rRNA from 1 species